AAGUCGUAACAAGGUUUCCGUAGGCACGUAUCCAACGUUCAAACCCCCCGUGAACCUUUAUUGUGGCACGCCUAUCCGUUAGAAAGUGGCAAUCCCUGGUAAAUCAUCGCCGAACAGUUUUGAUUCAGGGACUUCUGCGUGGGUAGGACAACUGCGCGAGCAAGUGGCCUGGCAUCCCUCUGCUUGUUAGUGUCUGAAAGUGUCACUAGCUGUACGGGUGGCGCAAUCUCGGCCCCCUAAUCACCUUUGCAUGAAAACGGGCCUGCGCUUAAUUGUGGCCACCAAACUCGAACAACUGUUAACAAUGGAUAACUUGGUUCUC
rnacentral:misc_RNA from 1 species